UACGGAGGGAGCUAGCGUUGUUCGGAAUUACUGGGCGUAAAGCGCGCGUAGGCGGCUUUGUAAGUUAGAGGUGAAAGCCCGGGGCUCAACCCCGGAAUUGCCUUUAAGACUGCAUCGCUUGAAUCCGGGAGAGGUGAGUGGAAUUCCGAGUGUAGAGGUGAAAUUCGUAGAUAUUCGGAAGAACACCAGUGGCGAAGGCGGCUCACUGGACCGGAAUUGACGCUGAGGUGCGAAAGCGUGGGGAGCAAACAGG
rnacentral:rRNA from 1 species